UACGGAGGGUGCAAGCGUUAAUCGGAAUUACUGGGCGUAACGCGCACGCAGGUGGCUGAGUCAGUCGAUUGUGAAAGCCCUGGGCUUAACCUGGGAAUUGCAGUCGAUACUACUCAGCUAGAGUAUGGGAGAGGGUAGUGGAAUUCCCGGUGUAGCGGUGAAAUGCGUAGAUAUCGGGAGGAACAUCAGUGGCGAAGGCGGCUACCUGGCCCAAUACUGACACUCAGGUGCGACAGCGUGGGGAGCAAACAGG
rnacentral:rRNA from 1 species